rnacentral:rRNA from 1 species
CACGUAGGGGGCGAGCGUUGUCCGGAUUUAUUGGGCGUAAAGAGCUCGUAGGCGGCUUGGUAAGUCAGGUGUGAAACCUCCAGGCUCAACCUGGAGACGCCACUUGAUACUGCCAUAGCUAGAGUCCGGUAGGGGAGCGUGGAAUUUCUGGUGUAGCGGUGAAAUGCGCAGAUAUCAGAAGGAACACCAGCGGCGAAGGCGGAUCUCUGGGCCGUAACUGACGCUGGAGGAGCGAAAGCAUGGGGAGCGAACAGG